rnacentral:rRNA from 1 species
UACGGGGGGAGCUAGCGUUGUUCGGAAUUACUGGGCGUAAAGCGCGCGUAGGCGGCUUUGUAAGCUAGAGGUGAAAGCCCGGAGCUCAACUCCGGAACUGCCUUUAAGACUGCAUCGCUUGAAUCCAGGAGAGGUGAGUGGAAUUCCGAGUGUAGAGGUGAAAUUCGUAGAUAUUCGGAAGAACACCAGUGGCGAAGGCGGCUCACUGGACUGGUAUUGACGCUGAGGUGCGAAAGCGUGGGGAGCAAACAGG